UGCGUAGGCGGGCUAAUAAGUCAGUGGUGAAAUCUCUCGGCUCAACCGGGAAACUGCCAUUGAUACUGUUAGUCUUGAGUUCGGUUGAGGUAGGCGGAAUGUGUAAUGUAGGGGUGAAAUGCUUAGAUAUUACACAGAACACCAAUUGCGUAGGCAGCUUACUAGACCGACACUGACGCUGAGGCACGAAAGCGUGGGGAGCGAACAGGAUUAGAUACCCUGGUAGUCC
rnacentral:rRNA from 1 species